UUCAUUUCUUAUGAAAACAUACUCCAGCGUGUAUAUGCAUUCAACUAUGGAUUCAUGGAUUUAAAAAAAAAAAAAAAAAAAAAAAAAUCGACCAACUGGCGUUAACAUCUUUUGUACUGGCAGUGGUAUUGGGCUUAAUGCCAGUCAAACAUUGUGCCUUAUUCGGAACCUUUGGAAAUCUUUGGAAAUAUUGUACCAGAAGGUGACAGACACUGGCAUUUGUUGUUACUGUUGUUGCAUAUUGUGAACAUAGUGUUUUUACCUUGUAUUACAGAGGGAAUGACUGUGUUUUUGAAACAUCUAAUUGAAGAGCACCACAGAUUAUUUACAGUUUUGUAUCCACAGAAUAAUUUGAUCCCAAAACAUCACUUCAUGAUCCAUUAUCCUGAAUGUAUACGCCAAAUUGGUCAAUUAGUACAUGUUUGGACUAUGAGGUAUAAAGCAAAACACAAAUUCUUUAAGUCCAGCAUAAAAAAUUUCAAGAACAUAACUAAGACACUUGCCAAGAAACACCAAAUAGCUGUUGCCUAUCACUGGGAAUCACUUUCUGCUAAAGGUAUUGAGUCUGGACUGUGUCAUCUAAAAUACUGACUGAUGUUGAACAUGGUGAUGUGAUUGCAGAUUAUUUUCAGAUUGAUAUUUCAAGCGAAAUAAGUGUUACAACUUGGGUUAAAAAAAUGGCAUUGAGUUUCACUUUGGUCUUGUUGUUUGCACAGAUUUUGUUAAUGAGAUGCCAGUGCUAAAUAAGAUUCUUUGCAUCUGUCUUAAAGGUGACAUUUAUUUUUUUAUUAUCUGAAAUGGAGACUGAAUUUGUAGAACAUUUCCAUGCCUUUCAUGUUGUUGACAUGGCACAUAAUGUUUCAUUUGUCAGACCUGAUGACUUGAGAUACUUCAAAGCAGACCUGCCAACCUGUACGCAUUUUGCGUACCAGGCACGCAUUUUGACAUCAAAGUACGCUGGUACGAUUUGAUGCUCUAAAAGUACGCAUAUCACUCGAUCGCGCAUUUCGCCGGUUUCAGUGUAUUUGUCUAUGCAAGAUGUCACUCAAAUUAAUACUCGGUGAAUAUAGGUGCGUAGGCGGAACGAAAAGAUUUCGGCCAAUCAGAUUGCUGCAUAUUGCCCCCCGCCCUCCCAUCCACUGCUGACUAAGAAAGAUGCGCUUGAUUCAGUUCCAUCCAGUUAGACAGUACACUGUCGCCCUCACCGUCAAGAUAGAUAAACCCUCUUCGCCCACACCUCUGGGUAGUCCUCAGUGAUGACUCUAUCAAUUCAAACAACGCUGACAGAUGACGGUUCGGGUUCAUUCUCUCCUGUUGCGUGGUGCUGAUGGCUGACGGCGGCAGUUUGACCCCUGGUGGUGGUGCAUUCUUCACAAACCCCCUCCCUUUUUUGUUGUGUGUGUGUGCAGUGUCACGGGUGGUUUAUUUUGAGGAUCCCUUCUCCCUUUUUGGUUUCUGCCGCAUGGUAAGCCCCAGCCCUGACCUUAUUCCCCUCCCCUGUCCAAGUGCCUAUUUUAUAUUAUGUGUGGUGUGUGACA